rnacentral:rRNA from 1 species
UAGGGAAUCUUCGGCAAUGGACGAAAGUCUGACCGAGCAACGCCGCGUGAGUGAAGAAGGUUUUCGGAUCGUAAAACUCUGUUGUUAGAGAAGAACAAGGACGUUAGUAACUGAACGUCCCCUGACGGUAUCUAACCAGAAAGCCACGGCUAACUACGUGCCAGCAGCCGCGGUAAUACGUAGGUGGCAAGCGUUGUCCGGAUUUAUUGGGCGUAAAGCGAGCGCAGGCGGUUUCUUAAGUCUGAUGUGAAAGCCCCCGGCUCAACCGGGGAGGGUUCUUUGGAACUGGGAGACUUGAGUGCAGAAGAGGAGAGUGGAAUUCCAUGUGUAGCGGUGAAAUGCGUAGAUAUAUGGAGGAACGCCAGUGGCGAAGGCGGCUCUCUGGUCUGUAACUGACGCUGAGGCUCGAAAGCGUGGGGAGCAAACAGG